rnacentral:rRNA from 1 species
GAUGAACGCUAGCGGCAGGCCUAACACAUGCAAGUCGAGGGGUAGAUAUCUUCGGAUAUUGAGACCGGCGCACGGGUGCGUAACGCGUAUGCAAUCUACCUUGUACAGAGGGAUAGCCCAGAGAAAUUUGGAUUAAUACCUCAUAGUAUUAUUGAAUGGCAUCAUUUACUAAUUAAAGUUCCAACGGUACAAGAUGAGCAUGCGUCCUAUUAGCUAGUUGGUGUGGUAACGGCAUACCAAGGCUACGGUAGGUAGGGGUCCUGAGAGGGGGAGCCCCCACACGGGUACUGAGACACGGACCAGACUCCUACGGGAGGCAGCAGUGAGGAAUAUUGGACAAUGGGCGCAAGCCUGAUCCAGCCAUGCCGCGUGCAGGAAGACGCAUCUAUGGUGUGUAAACUGCUUUUGUACGGGAAGAAACACUCCCUCGUGAGGGAGCUUGACGGUACCGUAAGAAUAAGGAUCGGCUAACUCCGUGCCAGCCGCCGCCGUAAAAC